UACAGAGGUCUCAAGCGUUGUUCGGAUUCAUUGGGCGUAAAGGGUGCGUAGGCGGCCUGUUAAGUCAGGGGUGAAAGACGGUAGCUCAACUAUCGCAGUGCCCUUGAUACUGAUGGGCUUGAAUGUACUAGAGGUAGGCGGAAUGUGACAAGUAGCGGUGAAAUGCAUAGAUAUGUCACAGAACACCAAUUGCGAAGGCAGCUUACUAUGGUAUGAUUGACGCUGAGGCACGAAAGCGUGGGGAUCAAACAGG
rnacentral:rRNA from 1 species